CCCUUAGAUGUUCUGGGCCGCACGCGCGCUACACUGAUGCAUUCAACGAGUUUCUUCCUGGUCCGAGAGGAAUGGGUAACCUUUUGUAAGUGCAUCGUGAUAGGGAUAGACUAUUGCAAUUAUUGGUCUUCAACGAGGAAUUCCUAGUAGACGUAGUUCAUCAGACUGCAUCGAUUACGUCCCUGCCCUUUGUACACACCGCCCGUCGCUCCUACCGAUUGAAUGCUCAGGUGAGCCAUUCGGACUUUCAUCAUGCUGGUUUCCAGUUUUGAUGAAGGAAAGUCUUGCGAACCUUAUCAUUUAGAGGAAGGAGAAGUCGUAACA
rnacentral:rRNA from 1 species